rnacentral:lncRNA from 1 species
AUUAGAGAUUAAGUGACUAGUAGCAGGUUUGAUGCCACAGUUUCUUGAUCCGAGCCUGUAUUUUCAUGUGAAAUGCUUUUGUGAUAGUUGAGGGAGAUGAUAGUGACUUCCCUUUAGUACGAGGUGCUCUCCAAGAAGAUAUGUAGAUAGAGUUCAAUUGUAAAAGUACCUGAUAUUUACCAAAGCAAUAUGAUAACUUCAGUUACUGCAUUGUCCAUAUCAUCAUGAGCAGACAUCUCAUGUGAUGUAUUUCUAUUGAUAAAUAAAUGUAAUCUUCCAAAAACAUAUGAUACAUUCAAUAUAAACAGCACUAACUUCCUGAAUCAAACUUCAGGAAGAUCAAAUGUUUCAGGUUCUGAUCCUGCUGCUAUCGAAUUAAGUUUCAAGUCUUCCAACAUAUGAUAAGUUUCUCGCGACCAAUUAACGAGAGAGUGAUGCCCAUCAGAGGGACAAUUCCAACGUCGGCCUGGUAUAUAUGGUGGAUGAAAUGGCAAAAAGUUCAUGCAGAGACCAAAAACGAGCACCUGGUGUAGGGCGUCGGAAGGCUAUGUUGCUGUCAAUAUUGAUGCUAAAUACAGCAUGAUAUAAACUUGGGAUCAGGAGCUUCGGGGGUGGUGAUCAGAGAUGACAAGGGACGGUUUUUGGCGGCAAAGGUCAUCCCUUUCGCUCUUGAUGCUGCUUCAGCGGAAGCCCAGCCGGUCCUUGAUGGCAUACAUCUAGCUAAUCGUGCCCCUCAACUUCAAUCCUGUUGCAACCUACUGAUCGUGCUACAGAUCAAUCUGUAUCUGUAAGCUAAUAGUAGUAGCACUAGUUAGGCGCAGUGUUCACGUCAGAUAUUCCAGAUGGAAGUCGCAGAACCAUCUAUAUAUCUCAACAAAGCCAACUUCUAUUAUAACGUGUGUUGAAAUGGAGACGACCGGUAGCAAGAUGCUGAAGCCGGUGCACUCGGCGCCGCACCCGCUCGCAGGCGAGAUGGUCCCGCUGACGCUCUUCGACCGCGCCGCCAUGGACAUCUUUGUCUCCCUCAUCCUCGUGUACCCCGCGCCGACUCCGUCCAACGAGGCACUCGUGGAGGGCCUGCGCAGGGCUGUCGCGCCGUACCCUCACCUGGCCGGGCGGCUCGCCGUCGACCACUCAGGCAGGCGCUCCAUCUACCUCAACAACGACGGCGUGCUUGUCCUGGACACCGAGGUCCCUGUCGAUAUGGCGAGCGUGGUCGCCGACGGCUGCUUUACCGCCGCCACCGAGGGCCUGUACCCUGCACUGCCACCGCCGGAGGUAAUUAGCUUCAUCAGUAGGACGGCGACGUCGGGCACCGGCAACUAACAGUUGGCACGUCUGGGACAAGCAGGAGAACGUCGGGGCGGCGCUGCUGCAGAUCAAGCUGAACCGGUACAAGUGCGGCGGCCUCGUGAUCGGCAUCAUCCACCACCACCACGCAGCCGACGGCCGCUCCUUCAGCAACUUCCUCACCACGUGGGCCAGCGCAGUUCGCCAAGCCAGCGAAUUCACCGCCCCGUCCCCUUCCCUCGACCGCGCGGCGACCGCCGUGCCUCGGAGCGUGCCGAUGCCGGCGUUCGACCACCGGUGCAUCGAGUUCAGCGGAGAAGAAGACGGCUGCCGUAGCUCCUCCUACUCCCACCCCACGUGCAAGAUCAAGAAUCUCACGUUGCGCUUCACGGCCGAGUUCGUCGCAGAGCUCAAGGCCCACGUCGGCACCCCAUGCAGCACGUUCCAGUGCCUUCUCGCGCACGUGUGGAAGAAGAUCACGGCGGCGCGCGGCCUGAAGCCCGACGAGUUCACGCAGGUCAGGGUGGCCGUGGACUGCCGGGGCAGGGCCAACCGUGCCGUCCCGCCGGACUUCUUCGGGAACAUGGUGCUGUGGGCAUUCCCGAGGCUCCAAGUCCGGGACGUCCUGGGCUGGACCUACGGCAGCGUGGUAGGCGCCAUCCGCGACGCCAUUGGGCGUGUCGAUGCCGCGUACAUCCAGUCGUUCGUGGACUUCGGGAGCGUGGCGGACGCGAACUGGGAGGAGCUCGCGGCGACGGCGCCAACCUCCGGCGCCAUGCUCUGUCCGGACCUGGAGGUGGACGGCAGUCUGGGUUUCAGGUUCCACCAGAUUGACCUCGGCAGUGGGCCGCCAUCCGCGUUCCUCAUGCCGGACUUGCCCGUCGAGGGGCUCAUGACAUUUGUGCCGUCGUGCUCAGCCGAGGGCAGCGUCGACGUCCACAUGGCCGUCGCCGAGGAUCACGUCGCGGCGCUUGAGCAUAUAUGCUACUCCUUGGACGAAAGAGCUAAACCGAAGUUGUAAAAUGCUCCAUUAGUUUUGAAGGCCGAUCGCUUUGCACACUCACACUAUCUCCAAAGUUUGUGAUUAUUCCAUUUUCUUUUUCGGAUAUAUACAUGUAACUUAACAACGCUGUGCACUGCAAAGCUAAAUUUCAUUUCGGCAAUCUGUUCAGGUGUAAAUGGUACGGAUAUAGAUGGAUCGACCAUCCUAUCAGGAAAUAAAUGUGUUAUUGGACCUGACAAGACAAAUACGAACUAGAGGGUUGUUCGGGGGAAAAAAACUUACUUCUCUAUCCAAAUUGGUAUCCAUAUAUAGGUAGCUGCAGCAUCCCAGUUAUCCGAAUCCGCAAGACAAUUUUUUCUUAAUGAAACUUCUUUAGUUGAAGGCGAAUUGGAGCUUGUUUCACUGAACUGAUAACAAUAUAAAAAUAUUGGAUAAUUACAAAUGAUAUCGAUAUCUGACUGAAUCAGUCAUAAUCUGUUAGAAACAAUUUCUGCAUUCGCAUUGGUUUCAGGAAUAUCCCUAUAUAAUUGUGAAUAUGGCCACGGAAAUGAAAACUCGUAUGUAUCCGACCACAUCCGUAAAGCCUGACUGUUCAUGAUAGAUUUUUUCUUCUUCCAUAUUGAUGGUUGUACAGGUGCAUAUAGGUGCCGGUAUCGACGAUUUAAUACCAAAAUGCAGUUCUACACUGACGCUAUGCGGCGUCGUAUGCUCAGCCAAUAAUCUCCUUCCAACGCAGUGAGUACCACUUUAAUGAUGCUUGAAUUUACCCAUUAUUAUGUCAUGUCCACCUAUUUAGACAGGGAGAGGUACUGCUCUCUUCUACUGUCCCCCAUUGUUCCCACGUCCCACCCAUCUUUGUGUUCCCUUCUCGCAGUCCUCUACUCUUCCACGACUACCCAACCACCAUUUAUUCUUUGAUUUGUGAUAUGCAACGACUUUGCUGAAUUUACUGUUGAAAACCUUUAUGCCCGCUAAGUAGAAGGAAAUGUCAGUUAACUCGAAGGUCGACGUGUUUUAAGUAGUAGAGCUUUUACUGUUUUAAAUGCUGUUAUAUUUGUACUUAUGAAAGGAACACAAUCAUAUCGCGACUCUUUCCCUCUCGUGACUGGCGGCUAGGGCACUCCACAAAGACAUGUACAUACAGUUCAAGCGUAAAACAACCUGAAAUUUUACCAAAUCAGUAUGAUAUAUUCCGAUGCCCCAUUGUCCAUAUGAUCAUGAACAGACCUCUCAUGCGAUGUAUUUCUAUCAACAAAUAAAUGUAACCUUCCAAAAAAGAAAAAUGAUAUAUUCAAUAUAAACAACAAUAACUUACUGAAUCAAACUUCAGGAAGAUCAAAUGUUUCAGGUUCGGAACCAGCUGAUAUCAAAUUAAGUUUCAAGUCUUCCAACAUAUGAUAAAUAUCUUCGCUUUCUGUGUGUAACUUGUCUGCAGUGACAAAGGAAUGUACACUGCCAUCAACCUCGAUCCAGCUGAGCCCAGGCUUCUUCACCACCCUAUGCUCCUCCAUCCUGCUUCUUGUCCUCUUCAAGUCGUCCCAUUGACCAGCACGUGCAUAGGCGUUUGAUAACAAAACGUACGAGCUGCCAUGGCUUGGCUCUGUGUCUGCCAACUUCUGGGCAGCAACCUCUGCCAUGUCGACAUUGCCAUGGGUUUGGCAAGCAGCUAGUAUUGAGCUCCACAUCACAAAGCCCUGCUCUUCUGGUAGACUGCUAGCGAGGUUGAAGGCUUCUUCCAAGAACCCAGCACGACCAAGAAGAUCCACCAAGCAGCCAUAGUGCUGGAUCGAUGGGCUGAUACCCAUGCUGCGCAUUAGGUUGAAGUACCUAAAACCUUCAUCAACAAGACCCCCAUGGCUGCAGGCAUUCAAGACGGCCACGAAGGUGACACCAUUCGGCUUGACGCCCAAUUGCCUCAUCUCGGCAAACAAUUUCAGUGCCAUCUCUGGGUGACCAUGUGCUGCGAAACCCCCAACGACAGAGGUCCAGUGCUCCACAUUCUUGCUGAUGACGCUUGAGAAGCAUUGGUAUGCCGCACCCAUGCACCCACACCUUGUGUACAUGUUGAUCAGAGCAACACCAAGAGCACCAUCCAGUGAGAACUCCCGCCGGAUUAUAUAACCGUGUGCGCUCCUCCCAAAUCCAAGCAGACUGAGGCUGCGAACAGCUGAUACAAGGCCAACCAUCGUGGCCUCAUCUGGCAUCAAACCAUAAACCUCCGUCAUCUCAACAAACAACUCCACUGCCUCUUGAGCCCACCCAUGCCUCACGAAGCCAGCCAUAACAGUAUUCCAAGAAGACACAUUCCACUCCGGCAUUUCCACAAACACCUCCCAGGCGGCAUCCAAAUCGCCGGCUCUGACAAGACCAUCAAGAAGCACGUUCCAAGAAACCAACGUCCUCUCAGGCAUUCCAUCAAACACCUUCCGCGCGUCACCCAGGCGGCCGAGCCGAGCGUAGGCACGGGCGAGGGAGGUGGAGGCGUAGACGCCGGAGACGGAACUAGGGAGCCCGGACUUGACGAGGAGGGCGUGGAUCUGCUCGGCUUCGGCCGCGGCCGUCAGCAGCCGCGCGCAGGCCGCGAGGGCGGGCAGCAGGGCGGGGUUGGCGCCGAGGGAGUGCCCGGCGACGUGGUGCACGCGGAAGGCGCGGAGAGCGGCGUCUCCCUGGGGCGGCGCGGCGCGGCAUCGGAUGGUUGUAGCGCGUUUGAAAGGCGCGGGCUUCCGCGGGAGAAGGGGUGUAUCGGGGAAGAGUAGAGUGCAAACGAAGGGGCUCAUGGGGGACUACUACACUGUACUACCAUGGGCCAAUGGUGGUGAGUCCGGUCCUCUUAUGAUUCUGCGUAGCUGUGUAAUAAUGUUUUCUUCUUCGAGGCCAAUGUAUACUCCACAUGAAGAGAUCUUCUGGCUCCUUCAAUCUCCUAGGUCAAGACCACCCACACACGAUGCGCUGCACUCCUUCUGGAUGCUCUGUGGCGCUAGGGUUCUUCGUCUGUCUUGCGGAAGCCUAAGGUUUCUGGGGAGAGGGUCGUGAUGGCUAAUUAGGAUGAAUCGGAAGGAUCGAAUUGUGGGAAAGAACACGAGGAGAACUUGCUGAGUCGGUUGGACCUCCAUGAGGAUGAAGAGGAGAAUUUUGUUUGGGGGGAAGAAUUCAAGGACGAAGUGGUAGAGACCAAGUGGCUUGCAAUUGCAAAGGCACACGCUUCAGAAAGCUUUAGUCCUUCAGCUUUGUACUCAGACAAGAGAUCAGCUUGAAACCCUGCCAGAGAGGUCCGCUGGCGUAAGAUCAAUGACAACUUGUUCACGAUCCAAUUCAGAUGUCUUGGAGAUUGGAUCUUGACUGAUGGUUUGUGCAGUAUUUCUAUGAACGUUCUUGUUGGGUACAUGUUUUUUUGAGGCCACUAUUCGAGCAAGGUUGUUGGUUGUGAUGCUGUUGUUUCUCUUGAUGCGGUGCAACUCGACUCCAUCAAACUUUUCUUCAAGCCCUCGGACAGCUCCACAGUAUGCUGCCAUUUUGUGAUCUUUUAUGUCGAAUGUUGUCGAUGUUAUUGAUCAAUGGUAUCAUCCGAUGAUAGUUGUGGGGAUUAGAACAUGUGGAGACCGUCGAGGUGGGUUAGCACACAGAGAUAAGAUUUAGACAGCUUCGGGCCCCGGAAAGCAUCAUCCGAUAAUAGCCAUACGUGUUGUUUGUGGCUAGGUCUUAUUCCGUAUGCUCAUGGGGGAGUCGCCGUUAUGAGUUGGCUCCCCUCUAGUUAUGUCUAGCCUUAGAGAUUCUCUCUGUUCUUCUUCUCUCUUAGGCGCCUUGCCCCUCUUUGUAUAAGUUGAAGGGGCCAGUUUACAUGUAGAGUCCUAGUAGGAUACAAACUAGCUAGUCUCACCUUUAUUACAAGCCAGAUAUUAGUCUGGGUCUUAUUCAAAUAGUUGGAGCCGGCCUUCUGGGCCACCCCCAUGUUGGGCCACGUUCUACCUCCGUGAGGGUACCCGUGUCCCAUAUCCACGACAAAUGUCUUCAUGACUUGCUAUACCAUGAGGUCGGAUUCGCCUCUACAUAUGAGGCGACAGAUCCCCAUGGAGGCCGAUCGGGUGUCACGCCCUUGCCGUCGGCGAGUUCCGCCGAUGGAUUUGGGGCCCGAGUCUAGGGUUUGAUGCAAUGAAGAAGGGGAAUUGGGACGGAUAGAAGGUAGAAGACGGCAGGAGAGAGUCGUCACAGAGAGAAGAGAAUAAUCAAAUUCAAAUUCAACAUGUCUCUCACUACACACCCCACUGUGCUUAUAACAGCGCACUCUGGACUCUUGCUACACCCGGCCCAAUACAUCACUCGGCCUUAGGCCCACACACUUACGCUCGCGGCCCACCUUCCAUUCAUUCUUCCCGCGCUAUCCUUGUUCCCGCCUUCUCCCUUGGGUUACGUCUCUCGCUCUGCUUGGGCGCUAUGGUCAGUGUAUCCAUGCUGACAUUGCCCCCUUCUUGAGAACCAGCUGGUCCCCAGACUGGUGCAUCCGGAUAUCUUGCCUUGAUCACUUGGUAAUCUUCCCAAGUUGCUGAUGAAGACGGCACCGAAGACCACUUGAUGAGAACCUGCAACAGAGCUGAGUUCCACUUCUUCACCAGGCGUCGAUCCAAGAUCUCCUCAGGUACCACCCCUGCCACUAACAGAUCUAACGGGACUGGUAGCGUGUGAAACACAGGAGUAUGAUCUGGUAUGUGCGUCUUGAGCUGAGACACAUGGAACACUGGAUGCACCAUGCUUCCUUUUGGUAAUUCCAGUCUGUACGCCGCAUUGCCCACUUUGUUGAUGAUCUUAUAAGGCCCAAAAAACUUCAGAGCUUGUUUCGGGCAUGGGUAAUUGACCACUGACGACUGGGCAUAGUGCUGGAGACGUAAAUAUACCAUUUCUCCUUCUGAGAACUCUUUGGGUGACCGAUUUUUGUCUGCAUACUGUUUAUAUUUGAACUGAGCUCGGGCCAAGCGUACUUUCAGAAGUGCCGUGUGUUGCGUUUGAUUAGUGAUCCAUGCUUGAACGUCCGGAUUCAGUGAGGAACUAGCCGCUGGUAGUUGUCCAAUCUUUGGAUCAUGACCAUAAAGAGCUUUGAACGGACUGCACCCAAUAGCUGAGUGAAAGGAGGUGUUAUACCAAAACUCAGCUUGAGGAAGCCAGGCUGCCCAUUUUGCAGGAGCAUCAUGAACUGCACACCGCAAAUACAUUUCGAGACACUGGUUUACUCGCUCCGUUUGACCAUCGGUUUGAGGAUGAUACGCUGUGCUCAUUUGCAGCUCUGUGCCCCAAAUCUUGAAUAGUUCUCUCCAAAAUGCACUUGUAAACACUUUGUCCCGAUCAGAUACAAUGAACAGGGGCAAUCCAUGUAGUCUGACCACAUUGUUGAGAAAAGCUUUGGGAACAGUAGCUGCAGUAAACGGAUGUUUGAGAGGAGUAAAGUGAGCUACCUUAGAGAACCUGUCCACCACCACCAGAAUUGCACUGUAGCCCUCUGAUUUGGGUAGUCCCUCGACAAAAUCCAUGCUAAUGCAUUGCCAAGGCCCAUCAGGAAUAGGAAGAGGUUGAAGUAAACCUGGAGACUUGCACAUCUCUCCUUGCUUGUUGACAUAUGCCACACUGCUUGACAAAGUUCUCUACAUGUACUUUCAUGUUGGGCCAACUGAACAGUUGUUUCACUCUAUGGUAAGUGGGCAGAAUGCAAGAAUGCCCUCCCACUGGAGUUGAAUGGAAAGCCUGAAUCAAUCUGGUCUAUAACCCUGCAUUAGCUCCUAUCCAGAUCUUUUCAUUGUGCUUUAUCAAGUGGUCCUGUAACACAAAUCCUGGUACUGACUGAGGGUCUACUGCCAGUUUCUGGAGCAUUUCCUGUGCUACAGGGUCUAUAGUAUAGGAGUUCAGUAUUUCCUGAAUCCAGACUGGUUGUCCAGCAGAAACUGCAGUCACAGAAAAUAGAUGUGCUACCCUCGAGAAAGCAUCUGCCACAGUAUUUUCCACUCCCCUCUUGUAUUGGAUGGUAAACUGCAGACCCACCAGCUUUGUCAUUGACUUUCUCUGUAAAUCAGAUGUCAGAUGCUGAUCUCCCAGAUGACAGAGACUCUGAUGAUCAGUUUUAAUUACAAAAGGACCUCUAGAUAAGUACUGCCUCCACUUAUCAACAACCACCAUGAUUGCUAGAAACUCCUUUUCAUAUAUAGAAAUUUUCUGGUUUUUGAUGCCCAAGGCUUUACUGUAGAAGGCUAUAGGGUGCCCUUCUUGUGUGAGCACAACUCCCACACCAGUGUCACAUGCAUCAGUUUCCACACAAAAAGUCUUGGAGAAAUCUGGAAGUUGCACCACUGGUGUACUGGACAUUGCCUUCUUUAAUAAGAGGAAAGCUGUUUGAGCCUCUUCACUCCAAUGAAAGCUCUGUUUCUUUAGGAGAUUUGUAAGUGGUUUUGCCAACAGACCAUAAUUCUGGACAAAUUUUCUAUAGUAUCCAGUUAGACCCAGAAACCCUCUCAAUAACAGAAGUGUUUGUAGGAUCUGUUGCUACUCCCUGGUCAGAAAUGAUAUGCCCUAAAUGUUCCAUAGACUGCUGGGCAAAAGAGCACUUGCUGGCUUUGACAUAAAACUGAUUUUUCCAUAGACUGCUGGGCAAAAGAGUUCCGCCGAUGGAUUUGGGGCCCGAGUCUAGGGUUUGACGCAAUGAAGAAGGGGAAUUGGGAUGGAUAGAAGGUAGAAGACAGCAGGAGAGAGUCGUCACAGAGAGUAGAGAAUAAUCAGAUUCAAAUUCAACAUGUCUCUCACUACACACACCAACGUGCUUAUAACAGUGCACUCUGGACUCUUGCUACACCCGGCCCAAUACAUCACUCGGCCUUAGGCCCACACACUCACGCUCGCGGCCCACCUUCCAUUCAUUCUUCCCGCGCUAUCCUUGUUCCCGCCUUCUCCCUUGGAUUACGUCUCUCGCUCUGCUUGGGCACUAUGGUCAGUGUAUCGAUACUGACAUCGAGGAAGUUCUAGCCCCAUUGAGGAAGUUCCAGCCCUCUCCCUCUCUGCGACAAUCCGUGCAUAUCUCCUCGCGAUGCGAAACAAGCAGGGGCAGAUUACUUCUGUCUUCCCCUGCUCAUUUAAUGUGAACUCAAUCGCUCCGAACUGCAUGUAGUCCACGUAGGGUGGUGGAGAAACGUUGAAAAGUUUUCCUGAACCAUCGAUAGCUAGCUCGAAAGAGCCGAACAUGAAGGUCUACCCCCGGUGAAUCUGUCCACGCCUUCUAGAUCUGCACCCCGGGUUAGAUCUCCGACCAUCACUGCCCCUACAAGGAGCUCCAACUAAUGGUGCGAAUUCUCGUGAGAUCCGUCGGUAGGGUUCCUAGCAGGGUUGGAAGAACCAGGAUGGAUCCUGCACGCACAAUUUACCCGGGUUUAGGCCUCCGGAGAGUAAUACCCUACAUCCUGCCUUUUCUUGUUACUCACGGUGAUACGGUUACUCAUGCGGGGGACUACAAUGAGGAUGGAGAUUGCUACCGAGAGUUGUUGUUCUUUAGAUGAGAUUAGAUUCGAUACGCUAGGGGCUCCCCAACCUUUCUCCAACGGGCCUUCUCUUUCUCACAUUGUCGUUGAGAAGCUUUAUCAACAGUUCGAUGUUUUUCCAAUCUACUACGCAACUUAUACCAAUUAGUGAUGUCUACUACGCAACUUUAUUCUUGUAGACUCGUGUUGGGCCUCCAAACGUAGAGUUUUGCAGGACAGUAGCAAUUUUCCCUCAAUUGGUUGACCUAAGGUUUAUAAAUCCGUGGGAGGCGUAGGAUGAAGUCUCUCAAACGACCCUGCAACCAAAUAACAAAGAGUCUCUUGUGUCCCCAACACACCAAAUACAAUGGUAAAUUGUAUAGGUGCACUAGUUCAACGAAGAGAUGGUGAUACAAGUGUAGUAAUGAUAGUAGAUAUUGAUUUUUGUAAUAGGAACAAUAAAAAGCAUCAAGGUAGCAAGUAACAAAAGUGAGCACAAAUGGUAUUGCAAUGCUUGAAAAUAAGGUCUAGGGUUCAUACUUUCACUAGUGCAAUCUCUCAACAGUGCAAACAUAGUUGAAUCAUAUAACAAACCCUCAGCGUGCGACAAGGAUCACUCCAAAGUUCUUAUCUAGCGGAGAACAUAAGAUGAAAUUGUAUGUAGGGUAUGAAACCACGUCAAAGUUAUCCUUUCCGAUUGAUCUAUUGAGCUAUUCCUAUAAGUGUCACAAACCGCCCUAGAGUUCGUACUAAAAUAACACCAUAUGAUACACAUCAACCAACUCUAAUGUCACCUAGAUACUCCAAUGUCACCACAAGUAUCCGUGAGUUGAUUAUACGAUAUGCAUCAAACAACUUCAGAUUCAUAAUAUUCAAUCCAACAUAAAGAACUUCAAAGAGUGCCCCAAGAUUUCUACCGGAGAAAGUAGGACGAAAACGUGCAUCAACCCCUAUGCAUAGAUUGCCCCAAUAUCACCUCAGGAAUCCGCGAGUUGAGUGCUAAAACAUAAACCAAGUGGAUCAAUAUAAUACCCCAUUGUCACCACGGGUAUUCAUAUGCAAGACAUACAUAAAGUGUUCUCAGAUCCAAUAAAGUAUUCAAUCCGAUAAAAGUAAAACCUCAAAGGUAAAAACUCAAUUCAUCGCAACAAGAUAGAGAGGGGAAAAACCAUAUGAUCCAACUAUAUUAACAAAGCUCGUGUACAUCAAGAUCGUGCCAAAUCAAGAACACGAGAGAGAGAGAUAUCAAACACAUAACUACUAGUAAAAACCCUCAGCCCCGAGGGUGAACUACUCCCUCCUCAUCAUGGAGACCGCCGUGAUGAUGAAGAUGGCCUCCGGUGAUGAUUCCCCCUCCGGCAGAGUGCCGAAAAAGGGCUCUAGAUUGGAUCAUGGAGGUACAUAGGCUUGCAGCAUCGGAGUCAAAGUUCUAGGGUUAUUUCUGCAGCUUACUGUAUUUAUAAGAAUUUUUGGCAUUAGAAUCACGUGAAGAUGGGCCACGAGGUGCCCACUACCCACCAGCCCACCACUUUGGCCCCUGGUGCACCCAGAUGGGUGGUGGCCACCUCGUGGCUCUUUUGGCCCUCCCACGAAGCUUUGGGGGUCUCUUUUGUUCCAAAAAAAUCGUCAAAAAGUUUUGCUGCAUUUGGACUUCAUUUGAUAUCUAUUUUCUGGAAAACAAAAAACAAGCAGAAAACAACAACUGGCACUGAGCACUAGGUCAAUAUGUUAGUCCAUAAAAACCAUAUAAAAGCCAUAUAAAAGUGCACCAAAAUCAUACAAAACUAUAAUAUACAUGGCAUGAAUACUUCAUAAAUUAUAGAUACGUUGGAGAUGUAUCAAUUAGUCAUACUCAAAACAUGAUCCACACUUGUCUCGUGAUCUUUUAGUCUAUUGGUCAUAUGUGACCAAUCAUUACAACCAUCAUUUUCUAACUAACCUUUCCGAUGACCUUUUGUAAAUAAUUUACAUCCAAAGCAAAAGACUCUAUCAAGUUCCUUAGAACAGACAAGUCAAUCUCUAUCACAAUGCUCCCCAUUUGAAAAAUCUUGUAUAGAAUAAUGCAGUAAAACUUUUACGAUAUCUAUCUUUAGGACCUAUCUUAACUAAUGAGUCUCUUCUUGGACCCUUUGUGCUAAGAUAUCAAUAUCUUUAGAAUCAAGAGAAUCCCAGAUUCUUGGAUCAAAUAUAUCAGACUGAAAAAAUCAUCAAUAUCGACACCAGGUGAACUAUUGAAGUUAACAUCAAUAUGAACUUCAUCUACCUCAAUAUUAUAUGUCUCUGCCUGAACAUCUCUAGAUUCAAAUCGUGGGAAAGAACACGUGAAGGACUUGCUGAGUCGGUUGGAUCUCCAUGAGGAUGAAGAGGCGAAUAUUUUUUUGGAGGAAUAAUUCGAGGACAAGUUGGUAGGGCACAAGUGGCUUGCAAUUGCAAAGGCACACACUUCAGAAAGCUUCAGUCCUUUAGCUUUGUACUGGAACAUGAGAUUAGCUUAGAACCCCGCCAGAGAGGUUCACCAGUGUAAGAUCAAGGACAACUUGUUCACGAUACAAUUCAGAUGUCUUGGUGAUUGGAUCUUGACUGAUGGCUUGUGCAAUAUUUCUAAGAACGUCACGUCAUUUACAGGUUUUCUUGAGGCCCCUAUUCGAGCAAGGUUGUCGGUUGCCAUGUUGCACUACAAAAAAAAGACACAUCUGUGACAUUUUGGGCCGAAUGAUUUUUUUUCUGUCAUGCUUAUGACACUUCUAUGACGAUAAUUGUGACAAAACCCGGUAUCAUCAUAGAUGUGGUGGGCUCCUACUUCUAUGACCAAAAAUCAUGACAGAAAAUGGGCUUUUCGUCCUGGGCGGGCUGGAGACGCAGCUGCAUGACAUUCUUUGGGCCGUCCAUGACGGAAAAAACAUGGUAGAAGCGAGGUCGAGGAAAAUAUCAGGGAGUUCCCGGUUACGGUGGGUGGUCGGGGCCGAGCGAUGCACAGAGGUUUGCGCGUUUCUCACGUACACGUAUGCGCGUGUGUGCGAGGCGUUGCGCUCUAACUGAACCCGAGCGAGGCGUUGGGCUCUAAUUGAACCCGAGCGAUUGCACUAGCUACGUUACUGAACCCCGAUCGAUCCCUUGCUGUUAACUAAACCCGACUGAUUCCUUCGCUACUGCUGCUAACUGAAGCCGAUCGAUGCUGCCUCUUGAUGAACAGUGAGCAUUGUUGGGGGGUUGGAUGAACAGUUCCCGCUGGGGGGGUGGAUGAACAGGACCCCGUGGUAGUAGAGGUCGUUGCCGCUGGAUGAACAGGACCCCGAUCGAGCCGGCUGGGGCUGGACGAAUAGGACCCCGUGGAGGGCUGGAUGAACAGGCCCCCGUGGAGGGCUGGUUGGACAGUAGCCGGUGGAGGGCUGGAUGAACAGUAGUCCAUGGAGGGGUGGUUGAACAGGACCCCGUGGAGAGGGCUGGUUGAACAGUAGCCGGUGGAGGAGCGGUGGAGGCUAGAUGAACAGGAGCCCAUGAAUGAACAGUGGCUGGUGGAGGCAGGAGGGGAGACGCCGUGGAUGAACAGUCGUAGGUGGAGGCUGGAGGAGGUCGACGAUGGAUGAACAAUAGCCCGUGUAGGCAGUCGAUGGUGGAGAUGAAUAGUAUCCCGUGGAGUCCCUUUUUGCAGUAUGCCACACCCCUCCCGAUCAAUAGGACCCCCAUUUCGACCGUAGCGCUCCAACACAAGCCCAUUUCCUCCGUUUUGCGGUACGCCACACCCCUCCCGAUCAACAUGAGCCCGUUUCAAAUGUAGGAGGUCCAAGAGAAGUCCGUUUCCUCCGUUUUGCGGUACGCCAGACCCCUCCCGAUGAACAGGAUCCCGUUUCGACCGUGGCCGAUCGAACACAAGGCCGUUUCCUCCGUUCUGUGGUACGCCAGGCCUCGUUUCGAUCGGCUGUUCCUUCCAAGCCGGUUGGCUCCCGAUGAACACGACGACACAGUUUCUCCAUUCCGACCCAGCCAUGUACACGAGCCCUGGCCGUACGUAUGCGCGAGUAGGUGUUCGAGAUCCCGCCCGUAUGUACGUACGUGGCCGUAUUUACUUUCUUGCACCCUGGCUGUAUGUACGUGUACAUGUACGUGCGCGCCUCUACUACGACACGUGCCCUUCCUUACUCGGUCACGGUUCAUUGCUGCAGCCUGCAGACAGACCGAUCGACCAGUAUGUACGUACACGUUCAUGACCAGAAUGACAACGCUACGUACGCUUCGACCAGGUGGGUCCCGACUGUCAGGGAGGAUAAGGAGGCACUCCUUGCGUGCGAAGAUGUAGCUGGUGGGUCCCAGCAGUCAGGGGGCGAAUCAUUUUUUUGCCCAUAAUAUGGACGCACUUUCUUGCGUGCAAAGAUGUAGCUGGUGCGCCCCAGCAGUCAGGGGGGAAACAUUUUUUCGCGAAAUAUGGUGACCCGUCCGGUGGGUCCCAGCUGUCAGGUGGAGGAAUCAUUAUUUUUUGCGUAAUAAGGAGGCAUUUCCUUGUGUGCGGCCAUGGACCCAGCUGUCAGCCUCUCCAUGCACAGUCCACUUUUGAUGGAUGUCGUUCGUUGACCACGUUGACCACGCCGCGCCGAGAGCACCAGGGCGGUGGACGACGGCGAGGCCUAGGAAGGGGACGACAUGGAGCCGGGGAAGACACGGGAGUGGAUGCCCAUGCGGAGAGUGGUACGAGGGUUCACUGGUUCGGCUGCAGUGUGAGGCUGCCGUCGCCGCAGGGUCUGGCCAGCGGUGGGAGUAGUAGGGGGCGGUGAGGGCUCAGCGGCAGCACAGUCGGCCACUGGAGGCAGGAGCAGGCGGUCUCGCCGGCGCUAGUUUGGGCGGCUAGUGCAAGAAGAGCAGCGAUUGAAGAAGCAGCAGGACCGUUCGAUUCAAAUCCAACGGUCACUGCUACUAGAAUCGUUUGUUGACUAAGUUGACAAAGCCCUGCGUACGCAUCAACUUAGUAGACCCACAAGCCAGCCUCCGAACCGGUGCGCCCUUGAUGUCAGUGGGAGGAAUCAUUGUUUUUCGUGUAAUAAGGAGGUAGUUGAUUGCGUGCGGACAUGCCAGUGGAGGGAGUAGGGUGGGCCGGUGAAGCCUGCGCGGCAUCACAGCGGGCCACAAGAGGAGGGAGCAGGCAGUCCCGCCGACGUUGGUUUAGGUGGCUGGAGCAGGAAGAUCAGUGAUUGAAGAAGCACGUCGGCCAUUGGAUGGACAUCCAAGAAUCACUGCUGCAAGAAUCGUGUGUUGACUGACAAAGCCUUGCAUAAACAAGUCAGACUCAAAAUCUGUGGCGUGUACAGCCCAUUCGCUAUUAUUUUUAUAAUUUUUACUCAUUUGCUAAUUCAUAUGGAAUUUAUUGCAGUCCAUUUUCCAUUUUUAGAAUUGCUUCCCAUUUUCUGGUCAGUACCAGGGUUAAAAAAAUUGAACUAAAAAAUGUGCGAAAUUUUGAAAAUUCGCAAUUUUUUGCUGGGGAACAAAAUAUUCUUAAUCCAAAAAUUAGCAGCCAUACUAAAACAAAUUUAAAAAUAAAUUAGUACUAUGUCAUGUUAAAAUCCAAUGAAAUAUAAAAUAUCAGUGAAGAACCAAAAAAAAA